rnacentral:rRNA from 1 species
UACGUAGGGUGCGAGCGUUAAUCGGAAUUACUGGGCGUAAAGCGUGCGCAGGCGGUUUUGCAAGACAGAUGUGAAAUCCCCGGGCUUAACCUGGGAACUGCAUUCGUGACUGCAAGGCUAGAGUGUGUCAGAGGGAGGUGGAAUUCCGCGUGUAGCAGUGAAAUGCGUGGAGAUGCGGAGGAACACCGAUGGCGAAGGCAGCCUCCUGGGAUAACACUGACGCUCAUGCACGAAAGCGUGGGGAGCAAACAGG